rnacentral:rRNA from 1 species
CUACGGGGGGCAGCAGUGAGGAAUAUUGCACAAUGGGGGGAACCCUGAUGCAGCAACGCCGCGUGGAGGAUGACGCAUUUCGGUGUGUAAACUCCUUUUAUAUGUCAAGAAAAUGACGGUAGCAUAUGAAUAAGCACCGGCUAACUCCGUGCCAGCAGCCGCGGUAAUACGGAGGGUGCAAGCGUUACUCGGAAUCACUGGGCGUAAAGGACGCGUAGGCGGGUUGGAAAGUCAGGUGUGAAAUCCUACAGCUUAACUGCAGAACUGCACUUGAAACUUCUAAUCUAGAGUAUGGGAGGGGGAGAUGGAAUUAGUGGUGUAGGGGUAAAAUCCGUAGAUAUCACUAGGAAUACCUAAAGCGAAGGCGAUCUCCUGGAACAUUACUGACGCUAAGGCGUGAAUGCGUGGGGAGCAAACAGGAUUAGAUACCCCGGUAGUC